CGAAGAAAUGACCUUGUGUGUGUUGAUGCUUCAGGCUGUGACCCUCUUCAGGAUUGGGUUCUUUUGAAGACCCUGACCUGGAGUUACACGCUAACUACGGUUCUUCACAGGAAUGGCCACUAUUCGAUAUGCCAAGUACGCAGCCUAGAAGACCAGCUCGCCUUUGGAAUUCUGGGAUUUUGUGGCUCUGGAGGCAGGUGGACUCAAGAUGAUCUGUGAAAUACAAGUGAAUUUUUAUGCAAACCAAACAAAGCAGAGAUAUUGAUUCCAACACAAUCCCUUUUUCAUCGAAAAUGAGGAUGAGGUGGAAUGAGGUCUGGCAGACUGACUGAAGUACAUCUGAGAUAAACAGGCUCUUCCACUUUUGUCAUGGAAACCUGUGUUUGCCCUUUCUAAAUAUGCACCUACUUGGCUUCUAGAUUAAGCUGUUGGAAUCUACAACUGUUCAUCGAUAGUUCUAUAAAGAAUCUUCAUGAAUUAGAGUCUGUAUUGAACAAAGGACAGUGGCAACAGGACGGUGCAAUACAUACAACUACUAUGUGCCUGAGGCUUUGUCACAGUACCUUAGGAGGAAACCAAAGCACCAGGAAGAAAUCCAUGCAGUGACAGAAAGAUCGUGCAAACUCCAAAUCGACAGCAACCUAGAUCAAGAUGGGUUGUUGGCAUUGUGAAGUUGCAAUUGUAUUAGUAGAAUCAAUAGUUGCCUAUUGGGCACAUCUGUAACUCAGUGAUUAAAAUUUAACUCAACUAUGCAUUAGAUUCCAUCUGAAACUCAUAAUGAGGAAACAGAGUAAAUGUGUCCUGAAGGAUUUGAGCUUCUGAGCAAUGGGAUCUUUGUUACAAUGAUGGUUUGAGAAGUCAAACCCACAUAAACUUGGCAAGUUCAGUCACACUGGGCUACAUCUGGGCUUAAAUCACCGCAGUUUGGGAGAAGUGUAGUCCAUAAAAAUUGGUGCAAAUAGAUUUUUAUUUGUGCCAUAAUUUUACCUGUGUGAUCAGUUUUGAGCUAAAUAUUGGCUUGAUGUUGAUCUAAGUUUGGGUUGGAUCAAGGCUGGUUUACUCAUUGGACUUGUUUGUUUAAUGCUGAGACAAAGAAUUUAUUAUAUUGUUAGAAAAUCCCAUAGCAACAUCUUCUGCUUAAACUGGAAACAAAUACCCUUUUUCUUGAAUUCAUAUGCAAUAUUCCCAUAAAUGGAUUAGAUAUCAACAAUGAUGAAUAAUCUGCAAGUGUUCAAAAAUAUAAGUACCUUGCUCCUCAACACUAUAAUAGACAUUAGAGGAAGGAGCAUCAGUAGGAGAUUGUAAAAAAGUGUGGCUUCAUUCAAGAUAACUACAACCUUGCCGUAGGGUUUGGUUGUUGCUGUGUCUUAAUGACCCAGACAGCUAUGCUGCCUGGAGUCAGGGCCUUGUGCUUUGACUCUUAGUAGGGUCACGCAUGCGAAAUAGGUCAAAGGGUAGAGGCCAGACUAAGAGUGGGCCACUGGUUCUCGAGAUUCUGGGGUUGCUCAAGGCUAACAACUCUAAAUGGUAAAAAACAAAUUGUUAUGAAAAUUGCAAUGAGGAAUCCUUUUACAUCUGAGUGUGACAGUAUUCUUGGCUAAGGGAAUUCAUUGCUGUCCUAAGUACCAAUGGUUUAAUGGUCUGUAAGCAAGUGUAAAGCCCUGGUUUAGAUUUUUACUGUCAUGAUGUAGGUAUUUUAUUUUAGUCACUCAGUAAGAGCAGUCUGUUCUACUUUUAGCAUGUUUGGGUUUGAGCUGAGAUCAGGGGCGUUGUUGUUCAACUUAGGAAUGUUAGGUCAGCCAGUCAGGGUGGUGGAAUUAGGAGAAGGUUCUAGAGAAUGCUGGGCAAAGAGGUUUUGGUUACAGACACCAGUGUGGGUCGAGAUCUUUUUGGCAGGAGCUCGCAGAAGACAGGAGGAAAGGUGGCUGAGAAUGCCAUCCCUGUUGCACAAGGUGCUUUGUGCAGAUUAAUGGUUUCAAGGAAGAAGGGCCAAUACUCCUGUGGGAGAGUCCAUUUGUUCAAGAUGGCUUGCAAGCGACAUUCAGAAGGUGGUGUGUGAUUUCACACAGACCAAAGGUCCAGCGCGUUAAAGACAACUUCAAGAUGAGCUCCAACCUAUGUGCACAUUUGGACUGGGUUAACUGUAAAGGGCCCUUUUUACUUUUUUCUUUUCUUUUCCCUACUAACUGUUCAAUAAAGAUGACAUUUGUAAAUAUACUUACUUUAUAAUUGUAUGCAGUGUAUGAUCUGUUAUUUCUUGCUGACAGCUAAUUAAAUACAGGCUGUAUUUACACUUACUUCCCCAGUAGAGAUCCCAAUGAUCCAUAAAUCUAAACCCCUGUACCAGUUCCUCAGCCAUACAUAGAUCUUCCAGAUCAUUCUAUUCUUACCCUCGCUGGCAUGUGGCACAGGCAGCAUUCCAGAAAUUACUACCCCAGAAAUCUUGUUUCUCAGCUUUCUACCUAGCUCCCUAAUAUCUCUCUUCAGGACCUCCUCACUUGGUCUACCCAUGUUAUUGGUGUCAAUAUGUGUCAAGGCUUCUGACUACUCACUCUCACCCUUGAGAAUGCCAUGGAUCUGAUCCAAAUCAUCCCUGAUCCUGUCACCAGGGAGGCAACAUACCAUCCAGGUGUCUCUAUCACACCCACAGAACCUCAUCUCUAUUCCUCUGAACAACGAAUUUGUCAACACUACAGUCAUCUUCACCUCUCUGGUUUUCUGAUCCUCAGCACCAGAGCCGUGGGGAAGCCAUAGUGCUUCCACAGGGAUAGGUCAUUCUCUCAAUAGUACUGAAAGUUGUAUAUUUAUUAUUGUGGGGAACGGCCACAGGUGUGCUCUGCAAUGACUGUGCAUUUUCCCCUCCUUCUCCUGACAGUCACCCAGUUACCUGUCUCCUGGAAUCUAGGGGUGACUACCUCUCUGUAACUCCUCUCUAUCACCUCCUCAUUCUCCCGUAUAAGUUAAAGGCCAUCGAGGUGAAGCUCCAGUUCUUUAAUACGUUCUCUCAGGACCCUCAGACUUCCCGCAUCCCACACAUAGUACAAAACAAAGCUCCUGUGCCCUAACAAAUGAUCAAAUAAGGACAGCGGGAGUAACUUACUUUUUUUUUAUUAAACAAAAUAUACUUUAUUCAAAAAUAAAAUUAUGUACAAUAAACCAUUCAAUGGCUCUCAGUCCUUUACAAAUGAUUCCAUUACAGUUCUUACAUUCCCACACUUUGCCACCCAGGUGGCAUUCUGUUACUUCAUAUUUACUUACACUAUCCACACGAUCAAUGCCUCUCAUUAUCUUAUACACCUCUAUCAGAUCACCACUCAUCCUCCGUCACUCCAAGGAGAAAAGGCCGAGUUCACUCAACCUAUUCUCAUAAGGCAUGCUCCCCAAUCCAGGCAACAUCCUUGUAAAUCUCCUCU